rnacentral:rRNA from 1 species
AUACGGAGGGUGCAAGCGUUGUUCGGAAUCACUGGGCGUAAAGGGCGCGCAGGCGGUCCUGCAAGUCAGAUGUGAAAGCCCACGGCUCAACCGUGGAAGUGCAUUUGAAACUGCAGGACUUGAGUAUCAGAGGGGAAAGUGGAAUUCCCGGUGUAGAGGUGAAAUUCGUAGAUAUCGGGAGGAAUACCGGUGGCGAAGGCGACUUUCUGGCUGAAUACUGACGCUGAGGCGCGAAAGCGUGGGGAGCAAACAGGAUUAGAAACCCUGGUAGUCC